rnacentral:rRNA from 1 species
UACGUAGGCAGCGAGCGUUGUUCGGAGUUACUGGGCGUAAAGAGUGCGUAGGCGGUUUUCUAAGUUUGGUGUGAAAUCUCCCGGCUUAACUGGGAGGGUGCGCCGAAGACUGGAAGGCUUGAGUAUGGGAGAGGUAAGCGGAAUUCCUGGUGUAGCGGUGAAAUGCGCAGAUAUCAGGAAGAACACCUAUGGCGAAGGCAGCUCUCUGGGACGGUACUGACGCUGAGACGCGAAAGCGUGGGGAGCGAACAGG